rnacentral:rRNA from 1 species
AUUGAACGCUGGCGGCAGGCCUAACACAUGCAAGUCGAACGGUAACAGGAAGCAGCUUGCUGCUUCGCUGACGAGUGGCGGACGGGUGAGUAAUGUCUGGGAAACUGCCUGAUGGAGGGGGAUAACUACUGGAAACGGUAGCUAAUACCGCAUAACGUCGCAAGACCAAGAGGGGGACCCUAGGGGCCCCUUCCAUUGGAUGUGCCCAGAUGGGAUUAGCUAGUAGGUGGGGUAACGGCUCACCUAGGCGACGAUCCCUAGCUGGUCUGAGAGGAUGACCAGCCACACUGGAACUGAGACACGGUCCAGACUCCUACGGGAGGCAGCAGUGGGGAAUAUUGCACAGUGGGCGCAAGCCUGAUGCAGCCAUGCCGCGUGUAUGAAGAAGGCCUUCGGGUUGUAAAGUACUUUCAGCGGGGAGGAAGGGAGUAAAGUUAAUACCUUUGCUCAUUGACGUUACCCGCAGAAGAAGCACCGGCUAACUCCGU